AUUGAACGCUGGCGGCAGGCCUAACACAUGCAAGUCGAACGGUAACAGGAAGCAUCUUGCUGCUUCGCUGACGAGUGGCGGACGGGUGAGUAAUGUCUGGGAAGCUGCCUGAUGGAGGGGGAUAACUACUGGAAACGGUAGCUAAUACCGCAUAAUGUCGCAAGACCAAAGAGGGGGACCUUCGGGCCUCUUGCCAUCGGAUGUGCCCAGAUGGGAAUAGCUUGUUGGUGGGGUAACGGCUCACCACGGCGACGAUCCCUAGCUGGUCUGAGAGGAUGACCAGCACCACUGGAACGGAGACAAGGGACAGACUCCUACGGGAGGCAGCAGGGGGGAAUCUUGCACCAUGGGCGAAAGCCUGAUGCAGACAUGCCGCGUGUAUGGAGGAGGCCUUCGGGUUGUAAAGAACUGUCAGCGGGGAGGAAGGGAGUACAGUUAAUACCUUUGCUCAUUGACGUUACCCGCAUAAGAAGCACCGGCUAACUACGGGC
rnacentral:rRNA from 1 species